AUGAAUUGUGGUGUCUUACCAUGCAAGAAGGUUCCUAGUGAUGUCAGGCUGGAGAUGAUAGCUUUGCUCCUAAAGAGUGUUGAGUUGAAGGAAAAAAAGAUCGAGGGAUUGGAGGCGCUCAGAUCUAGUGUUGACUUAGAUCACUCCGAUGGAGAACAAGAAACUGAUGAAGAAGAUGGCAAUCAGGUUGUGAUUUGGAAGUCAAAACCAGGCACAAGCAGCUCAAUGGGUGGCCCUAUGGACAAAUUCUGCAAGCCUAGUAUAGAAGAAACUGUCAAGAGGAAGCAAAAAAGAAAUUGUGAAUCCGAAAAGGUUCAGUCGAAGGUGUCAACUCAGCAAAGACAACAGAGGAGCGAUAGAGCUUGUGGAUAUAUAUGUCAAUUUUUCUAUGAAGCUAGCAUCCCACAUAACACUGUCACACUUCCUAGCUUUUCAUGUAUGCUUCAGGCCAUUGGAGAUGUUGGCACAAACUCCGAUGGGCCUACUGCAUAUGAGAUGAGUGGACCAUUCUUGCAGAAAAGGAAGAAGAAGGUGUUAGAUUCAUUCAAACCACAUAAGCAAGCAUGGGAGCACACAGGUUGUACCGUAAUGACAGAUGCAUGGACAGAUAAAAAGGGCAGGGGAGUAAUGAACCUAGUUGUGCAUAGUUCUCAAGGAGUCAUAUUCUUGAAUUCAGUUGAUUGUUCAUCUGUCCAGAAAAAUGGCAAAUACAUCUUUGACCUCGUUGAUAAUUGCAUUGAAGAUAUAGGGGCAGACAAAGUCGUUCAAGUGGUGACCGACAAUGCUAGUGUCAAUGUAGCAGCAGCAAGUCUAAUGAAAGCAAAGCGACCUUCCAUUUUUUGGAAUGGAUGUGCAACCCAUUGUAUUGAUCUCAUGUUGGAGGACAUAGGGAAGCUUGGAUCGGUUGACAAAAUAAUUGCCCAAGCAAGACAAGUAACGGUGUUCUUGUAUGCUCACACAAGGGUGUUAGCUCUGAUGAGGAAAACACUUGGGAAAGACUUGGUACGGUCAGGUGUUACUAGGUUUGCCACGGCUUAUCUCAAUCGUAAAAGCUUGCAAGACAACAAGAAGGAAAUGCUUAAACUAUUCAGAUCAGAUGAGCUACAUGAAAUGGGUUACUUAGAGAAGGACAAGGGGAAGAUGGCUCACAAAACGGUGCAAUCGGAAGCCUGUUGGAAAGGUGUUGGUGUUGCUGUCAACUACUUUGAGCCAAUGGCUAAUGUGCUAAGAAGAAUGGAUAGUGAUGUGCCCGCAAUGGGAUUCUUAUAUGGUUGUAUGUUGGAUGCAAAAAAGGAAAUUGCUGCGAGUUUGUAUAAUGAUUAG
rnacentral:rRNA from 1 species